UACAGAGGGUGCAAGCGUUAAUCGGAUUUACUGGGCGUAAAGGGCGUGUAGGUGGUUACGUAAGUGAGAGGUGAAAUCCCCGGGCUCAACCUGGGAACUGCCUCUUAAACUGCGUGGCUGGAGUACAUUAGAGGGUAGUGGAAUUUCCGGUGUAGCGGUGAAAUGCGUAGAUAUCGGAAGGAACACCAGUGGCGAAGGCGGCUACCUGGAAUGAUACUGACACUGAGGCGCGAGAGCGUGGGGAGCAAACAGG
rnacentral:rRNA from 1 species